ACUUUUUGCUUACAGCAGCCCAGCAACUUUCCCUUUCCCCUAUAAAAGAGGGUUCGUUUCCCAUCCUUCCUUCUCUCGCCCUGUGUAUGGUUUUGCUGAGUUUCAGUGUUUUGGAGUAUUCUCACAUUCAUUGGAACAAAACAUAUGAAAGCAUCUCGAAAAUGGUAAAGCAGUAUGCAAAUGGAAGUUAUUAGAAUUGCUACUGCCUCGUUUUUUCAUAAAACCCUGGGAAAGGUAGGUGUUAAUACCAGCUCUAUCAUAUGAGGAGGAAAUUG
rnacentral:lncRNA from 1 species